rnacentral:lncRNA from 1 species
AGGCCUCCCUAACUUCCGGAUAGGCGCCAUAUUGGAAAAAACUGAUGUUACUCAAAGAGGUAAGUCGUCAAUUUGAAAUGUUGAAUUAAGAAAAUCGAGCAAACCAAUUUCAUAUUGAAUUAGUUUUUAUUGUACUGUGAGUUAAAAAUUUUGAUGUUAUCAUAUUUUUAUAAACAAAAUUAUUAUGGUUAUUGAGAAAAAGUUCAGCAUUGCCAAGAAUGUUGCGAAAACACAUGUCUGAUAAAACCAAGUCUUGGUUUUAUGAAUUUUUCACAAUUGCUCGUUUUUGGAUAAGAAAUUUCUUUAAAUUAAAGGUCCGAUACAAGUUUAAUAGGUUUUUGAAUGUUUAUAUUACAACCUCAUUGCAAAUCGGAUGCAAAUUAUGCAUUUUGACGCACAUGUCAUGCCGCUUCAUUGUUAUUCAAAUGAGCGACCAUAACCGGUUGUUUGUGUACUUUAACACACAUGGUCAUUUGUGGAUCAUUAAAAACGUAUAGGCAUUGUAUGGUUUGAAUAUUUCUAUUCAUCUGUAAUUUAAACUUUACUAACUUCAAUACAUUGUUACACCAAUAUAUGUACUUUGACAGAGAGUUGUGUCCUUGACAAUCAUAUGGUAUGCCAUCCUUAUCUUCUUAUUUAUAUUUAAAAUACACACAUACAUUGACAAUAUAUAAAAUUUUGUUUAAUGAUUUGAAUUCAAACACGUAUCAGUUUCAAUUCAAACAAGUAUCAGGUGUUGUUCAGUUUCAUUUCAUUUGACUUGAGUUGGGAGGACACAAAUUUUUUAAGAACAAUUACUCAAGCUUGAAAAUAUGGGGGGGGGGGACUAUAAGAAAUAUAUGAUUAGAUCAAUAAAGUUCCAAUAACUUCUUCGUCUCUCAUCCUUCUUGGUGUGACAAAGCUGUUUUUAUCAAUCUUUUUUUACACAUUGGUAUUCCACUCUUUUAUUGCAGAGCAUUUAUCCACAUGAAACCCAAACAAUAUAGGAAAAGGUUACAUAUCACCUAUGUAUCUGUAUUUGCAAUUUAUCAUUUUGCAAAACAAUAUAUAUCUCCAUCAUUCGUGAAGUUAUUUCAAUCUAAAUAUGCUACCCUACACUAUUAUAAUUAUUUAUGCUUUGAAUGAUCCAGUACUUUAAUAGUCAUGUCCAUAUUCAUAUUAUGCCUUCAUAUAAUUUCAGUCAGUGGAAAGACAUACAUGUAGAAUCAACAUCCUAGAUGAUUUUUCAAUUUAUAUACAGACUAUGAAAACACUGCUGUAGUUCUUUGAUUCUUUAAUAAGUUGUACAUGUUGUUGUGAUGUAACAAAUUACUUUUCAUAAACUACAUGUACAAAAUGAAUGAAAGAAGGUAAGAUAUUAAAGUUAGUCUCAAAUAGUUAUUUUUACUUGUGAGAAAGUUGCAUGUAAUAUUUCAUAGAAAAUGAUUCUUCUUCUUGUUAUUGACUUACAAAUGUAACUCAGUCUCAAAUGAAAUGAAAGUUCAAAGAUUUAAGAAUACAAACAAGUACAUGUGUGCAUAAACAAAUAUUAAAAUAUUAUUGUCUACAUGUGUAUACUCGGAUGUAUAUUAACAUUGCCAUGUAAAAUAUCAGAAUAUUUUUAUAGUAUACAGCUGUUGACCAUUUUUACAACACAGACUACAAAUUUUGUGGUCUCAGUGAAAUUAAGUCCUGUUUUUGCAGAUUUUUCCAUCUUUCAUACAUGUAGGUGUAAUUAAGAUUGAGCCAAACUGCAUGGAAAAAUGUACUGGAACAGUUUACUUUUAAAAUAUUGAUGUACUUUGUAAUGAGCACCAUAGGCUGAUCUAGGGGGCUGGGUGAAGACUGAACCCCUUUUGGUGGAAAAAAAUUGCUUAAUUAUAUAUGAAAUCACUGAAGCAUGACUGAGAGCAGUCCCCUUAGGUCAGUCAGAGUACAACAAGUUCUGGAUCUGUCACUGAGCAUCUACAUGUAUACCAAUCAAUAUAAAAUACCUGACACUCUAAAAUAAGAGAAUAAAACAACCACAAACUUUUGAAUAGUUUACAAUCAGGACAACAACAACAUUGACCUUCGUCAUUUUUGGGGUCAAGGUGACAGGGCUGCCACUUUUUAAGAACAAUGUCAUCAUUGAUUAUUUCAAUUACAUUUUUUUAGAUUGAAAUGCUUUUGUAAAAUUUAGUUACACAUUUAUGAUAAUUUGAUAAAGCUUAGAACAAUGUAAUAGUUUUGUUUUAAACUAUUUUUUAUACAUGUAUCUGCAAUAAAAUGAGAAGUGUUAUUGUCUUUAUAAGACAUUAAUAUAUAAGUCACAUUUAAAUUGUACUUUUAAAUUGCAUAUUGUAAUUUUUUUUCUUAUAUUGGAUUUGUUUUUCACUACAUGUAUAACAUUAUAAUUUCAGGUUAGAAUGCAAAACUGGUGAAGAUGAAGGUUAUAAUUGUGAUAUACAUAUUGAUUAAUUUGAAGCAGAUUUUGUUCUUAAGAGUGAAAUAAAAAAAAAACAGACGUGUGUUUUAGAAAGAUGUUCAACUAUUAACAAGACAACAAACAUAUUCAUUGUAUGACUGAGAGAGAAAUGAAUAUAAGU